UUUUCCUUUCUCGUUUUUUUCGUCCCACACAUCAGUCACACCCUUCCCCGAUGGCGCCGGCCGCCUCCCUGUGGUAUCAGGGUCCAAUGCCCACUCUGCACGGAAGCCAAGAGCCUGGCGUCUGCACUCGGGUACAGCUGACGGACUCUUGGCGUCGGCGGACAGGUCUGGGCUGGCGCUGCGCCGAAGAGGCUUGCGGUCAUGGCCGCUACGAUUGGGCCAGCUUGCUACGAGUCGUGUCGUCGAUUCGACAAACAUAUGCAUCCACCCCCUGCUUUUCUGCCUUAGCUGCGUUGCGGUAAUGCUGAGCGUAGUCUUUGGCCUGGCCUGCGCUGUACGCGGUAGCACUGCAAUGGGCUGCGCGGCACCAAGCGGCGCUGGUUGGGCCGGUUCCUUAACAUAGCCGCCGUGCAGCAGAGGUAAGCGAGCUGUGGUUGCAUGCGUAGAAAUACACAUAUAUAUAUAUAUAUAUUGUUGGCGUGCUUGUAGUGGUAGUAGAGACUUUGAGGGAAUAACAAAACUUCCAGCCGCGAGGUUUGAUGACUGCUCUUCUCUUUUUCCCGCUGCUUCUCCUUAGAAAUCGUGUGCCCUCUUGUAGCGGGUCUCCGCUAUUUCUUUCGGAUGGCUUUUGACGGCGACGUACAGGUGCAUAUAUAUAUAUGUGUGUGUGUGUAGGUGGGGGGGGGCGUAGUAGCUCCCUUUCCCUCUCCUAGGCUGGGGAGGAUGUUAACAGGCUUUACGAUCUUGUUUGUGAGCUCAACUCAGUCCCAGCCAACCAGCCCCGCCAUUCUGGCCACCGUGAGAGACAUGAUUAACAAGGAAUAGUGAACCCUGUAUUCUCGUAG
rnacentral:misc_RNA from 1 species